rnacentral:rRNA from 1 species
AUGAACGCUGGCGGCGUGCUUAACACAUGCAAGUCGAACGAUGAAGCCCAGCUUGCUGGGUGGAUUAGUGGCGAACGGGUGAGUAACACGUGAGUAACCUGCCCUUAACUCUGGGAUAAGCCUGGGAAACUGGGUCUAAUACCGGAUAGGAGCGUCCACCGCAUGGUGGGUGUUGGAAAGAUUUAUCGGUUUUGGAUGGACUCGCGGCCUAUCAGCUUGUUGGUGAGGUAAUGGCUCACCAAGGCGACGACGGGUAGCCGGCCUGAGGGUGACCGGCCACACUGGGACUGAGACACGGCCCAGACUCCUACGGGAGGCAGCAGUGGGGAAUAUUGCACAAUGGGCGCAAGCCUGAUGCAGCGACGCCGCGUGAGGGAUGACGG